rnacentral:rRNA from 1 species
AGUAAAUAGAUACCCCGGUAGUCCACGCCGUAAACGAUGUCGACUUGGAGGUUGUGCCCUUGAGGCGUGGCUUCCGGAGCUAAACGCGUUAAAGUCGACCGCCUGGGGAGUACGGCCGCAAGGUUAAAACUCAAAUGAAUUGACGGGGGCCCGCACAAGCGGUGGAGCAUGUGGUUUAAUUCGAUGCAACGCGAAGAACCUUACCUACUCUUGACAUCCAGAGAACUUAGCAGAGAUGCUUUGGUGCCUUCGGGAACUCUGAGACAGGUGCUGCAUGGCUGUCGUCAGCUCGUGUUGUGAAAUGUUGGGUUAAGUCCCGCAACGAGCGCAACCCUUAUCCUUUGUUGCCAGCGGUUAGGCCGGGAACUCAAGGAGACUGCCAGUGAUAAACUGGAGGAAGGUGGGGAUGACGUCAAGUCAUCAUGGCCCUUACGAGUAGGGCUACACACGUGCUACAAUGGCGCAUACAAAGAGAAGCGACCUCGCGAGAGCAAGCGGACCUCAUAAAGUGCGUCGUAGUCCGG